UUUUUUAUUUCUAUUUUUAUUUAUUUAUUUAUUUAUUUUUAAUUUUUUCCGACAUAUCAAGUGCACCGCCUCUAACUUUUCGCCUCGAGAUGCUUCUCAGUUCUUCUCCACCGCCUCCUUGCUUUACUGUUUUACAUUGUCUGCACAACUCAAAAUCGAUGGCUGGUUCGCACACCUAUUUUGCGGAGAAGAGGUUGCAGGACCACCAUCGCCUACCUCCACAACCAUACGCUGUCAGAUUGUCAGUUAUACUUCCUCGACACCUCAAUAUUUGGGUGUUGUCUUCGGUUCUUGAUUUUCCGUUUCCGGUGUGCGAUGGAGGUGGUCUGUUCGACGACUUAUCUGUUUCCAUUCCCAACUCCCUCAAAUGCAGGCUCCAUCGUCGAUCAGUUUCCAACUUCCACUAUGGGUCACUUGCUACCAUAUUGCCGUCAACCAUCUCUUCUCCAUUAAUGACACCCACUUACUUAUAUACCACCAAUGUCUGAUUAUUGAUUUUCUUUUUUCACUUAUGCUUCUAAGAAUUUCGUUUUUUUCCAACACACCUCUAAACUCUUCAUAACAUUUCUUAGUGCAGUAAGUGAUUUCAACUCAUGUAUGUAUUAUGAUAUUUGAUUUUGAUUGUUUUAUGCACUUUGAUUUAGGAAGGAUGAAAGUUUGUGCAUUUGGGGGGGGGGGGGGGGGGGGGGGGGGGAAUCUAGGUCUCAUUUGUUUGAUAAGUUAAUUUGAUUUUUAUUCGAUUAGUGAAUUCAGGCACAGUUAGUUCAAGUUAUUGAGGUUAAAAAGCCAUUAAUUGUUUUUAUUUUAAAGUAUACAGGGUAACAGGUGUCGUCAUCUUUAAGCUUUUCAAUCGUUUGACUUUUAGUACUGUCAAAAGUCAAAAGAGACUAUGACUUAUGCAAUUCGUAAAAUUAAUAGUUUGUGGUUGAUGGUGGUUGCAUUUUGGUGAAUCUGAAACAGACAUCGAUGAGGAAUCAGAUAUUAGUGGUUCAGAUGGGGAGGAAACAUUUUGGAUUUUAUUGACCAUAAAUUUAUAGAAACCGAUUUUAAUUUCUCAAAAAAUCCGUAUUUAUAUUCUAAAAUAGCAAUGAACUUGAAGUUUUUUUUUUGUUUUUUUACAAGCUUACUUUUUAAGUUGGUUGUUAUUUUAAAGUUUGAAGUAAGGACCAAAACUAGAAAUAGACAUAUAGAAAUGGAAAUCUUUUUCAAUCUAUACCUUUCCUGUAUUCAGCAAGAUUUAGGUUGGUCUAUUUGUUUGUUUCAUGUAAUUUCAUUUUUUUAAAUCACUUCUAUCCUUAAAUGUUCUUAUAUUUUUUGGCAGGUUUUGCUCAUCAUUGCGCCAAACACCCCAGCAUGUAUGUAUUGGUACUAUCUGAACUUCAAUGGUAGUAGUGGUCACAUUAGAAUGACAGAACAUGAAGAUUAAGAGGUGAUGUUGUUAAUCUUUCGUUAAUUGAUAUUUAAUUUGAUUUGGAUUUAUACUACAUUUGGAUAUUAGGGCUUUUAAGGACUAUUUUGAAAAGAAAAAGAUUACGUUUUACUGUUGAUAAUGGAUGUUGCAAACAGAGAAUGCUUGGCAGAAUUAAGCAACUAUAGUAUGUUUUAUUUUUGAGAUUUCCUUGCUUUCCACAUGUCCCCAUAUAAAGUUGUUGGAUUCUAUGGUGAAAAUAUGUAACACCGGAUUCCUGAUACGAUUUUAUUUAGGUAUUUUUCUUAAUUUUUGCCAUGAACUCGGCAAGUCUGCGUCUCGACUCGCCGAGUAGCAGCGAGGUGGACACAGGAUUUAAACGGGGAACUCGGCGAGUCGAUUUAUGGACUCGGCGAGUUCACAUGUCUGGAUGAAACUCUAUUUUAAGACAUUGCACCCUAUUUUGCCCAUUCUAAAACACCCAUUUCGUCCCAUUUGCUCCCAGAGAGCAGUAGAGAGCAACCCAAGCCCCCCAUUAGUGUUCUUGAGUGAUUUUUUAUCUUCCAAAGAAGGUUUUGGAGCUUAAAGGAAGAAGGAAGAAGUUGGAGUGUUCCAGAAGUGAAGGUAGAUCUGAAAUCUACUCUGUGGAAAGCAUCAAAUCAGCCGGAGGGAUUACCGGUGCGGAAGCCAGGCGUAGGUUGAGCAGGUUUUCAGCAGCUACUCUCGAGUAGUAGUAGGGGGUGAAACAGUCCCUGAUCCGGUCGACAGGACCGAAGGGGUAGGCCAGCACCCAAAUAUACUAGGCAGUAUCCAGUCGACAGGACCGAAGGGGAAGGUCGGGCACCCAGAAAUGCCCAGCAGACAUGUACCUCUUAUGCUAGGGGAAAGGUGCCAGCGCGGUAGCAGCAUAUCACACACACUCUUGUUUCCGCACCAGGGAUUUUCUAGGAUGCACUCUGAAAUAUUACUAUGAUAUUACCGGUUUUCAGACAUGAAGUAUUAUUAUGAAUGUUUUAUAACGAUGUUUUUAUGUAUUAACCUAAUUUAAAAUUGAAAUUUUUAGCCGGUAUUUUUGGGAUGUUACAAAAUAGGCAAGAGUUAUUAUGUAAUGACAAAAAUAUAAGGUAUCAUGUCUUUACACGAUAUUAUUUUGAACA